UACGGAGGGUGCAAGCGUUAUCCGGAAUCACUGGGUUUAAAGGGUGCGUAGGCGGCCCGAUAAGUCAGUCGUGAAAUCGCUGGGCUUAACCCAUGCAACUGCGAUUGAUACUGUCGGGCUUGAAUCAGGUUGAGGCAGGCGGAAUGUGACAUGUGGCGGUGAAAUGCAUAGAUAUGUCAUAGAACACCGAUUGCGAUGGCAGCUUGCUGGACCUUGAUUGACGCUGAGGCACGAAAGCGUGGGGAGCAAACAGG
rnacentral:rRNA from 1 species